rnacentral:rRNA from 1 species
GUUCGGUGGAUGCCUUGGCAUCAGGGGCCGAUGAAGGACGUGGUGGCCUGCGAUAUUCCUCGGGGAGCCGGCUGGCGGGCUGUGAUCCGAGGGUUUCCGAAUGGGGGGACCCGGCACGAGUUAUGUCGUGUCACCUGCAUCUGAAUUGUAUAGGGUGUGGGGGGUGACGCGGGGAAGUGAAACAUCUUAGUACCCGUAGGAGAAGAUAUUCCGUGAGUAGUGGCGAGCGAAAGCGGAUGAUGGUUAAACCGUGUGCGUGUGAUACUCGGCAGGGGUUGCGUGUGCGGGGUUGUGGGGCUGUCCUGUUCUCUUCUGCCGGAGAGGGGGCGCGUGUGCUGGCCGGUAGCUGAAUCGUCUGGGAAGGCGUGGCGUAGUGGGUGAUACCCCCGUAGGCGGAACUGGUUGGUGCGUGUCUGGGACGGUUUGCCCGAGUAGCACGGGGCUCGUGGAAUCCUGUGUGAAUCUGCCAAGACCACUUGGCUGCCUGAAUACCUCCUGAUGACCGAUAGUGGAUAGUACCGUGAGGGAAUGGUGAAAAGUACCCCGGGAGGGGAGUGAAAUAGUACCUGAAACCGGGCGCUUACAAGCCGUCAGAGCCUUCCGCACCUUGUGUGUGGGGGUGGUGGCGUGCCUUUUGAAGAAUGAGCCUGCGAGUCAGUGGCGUGUCGCGAGGUUAACCCGUGUGGGGUAGCCGUAGCGAGAGCGAGUCCGAAUAGGGCGAUUGUAGUGGCGCGUUCUGGACCCGAAGCGGGGUGAUCUACCCAUGGCCAGGUUGAAGCACGUGUAAGAGCGUGUGGAGGACCGAACCCACCUAGGUUGAAAACUGGGGGGAUGAGCUGUGGGUAGGGGUGAAAGGCCAAUCAAACUCCGUGAUAGCUGGUUCUCCCCGAAAUGCAUUUAGGUGCAGCGUUGCGUGGUCCCUGGUGGAGGUAGAGCUACUGGAUGGCCGAUGGGCCCGAUGGGUUACUGACGUCAGCCAAACUCCGAAUGCCAUUAGGUGUAGCGUGGCAGUGAGACUGCGGGGGAUAAGCUUCGUAGUCGAGAGGGAAACAGCCCAGAUCAUCAGCUAAGGCCCCUAAGCGUACGCUAAGUGGGAAAGGAUGUGGAGUCGCGGUGACAACCAGGAGGUUGGCUUAGAAGCAGCCAUCCUUGAAAGAGUGCGUAAUAGCUCACUGGUCAAGUGGUUCUGCGCCGACAAUGUAGCGGGGCUCAAGCGUACCGCCGAAGCUGUGGCAACGACACGUGAUGCUGGCGCCAGGAACUGGAGUGCUGGUGUGUUGUUGGGUAGGGGAGCGUCCUGCACGAGGUGAAGCCUGGAGGGAACUUCUGGUGGAUUGUGUGGGAGUGAGAAUGCAGGCAUGAGUAACGAAUCUGCGGUGAGAAUCCGCAGCGCCGAUUGACUAAGGGUUCCAGGGCUAGGUUUAUCCGCCCUGGGUUAGUCGGGUCCUAAGGCGAGGCCGACAGGCGUAGUCGAUGGACAACCAGUUGAUAUUCUGGUACCGCGUUGUGACCGCCCAUGCUGAGGUCAUUGUGCUAACCAAUUUGCCCGCGCCCCGCCUCCGCUUUCGGGUGGUGGUGGUGUGUGUGGGUCUUGGGGUCCCGGUGAUGGUAGGCAAGCGUGUUAACAGGGGUGACGCAGACAGGUAGCUGCAGUGCGCCGAUGGUUGUGCGUAUUUAAGGUUGUGGCCCGUCUCCCAGGUAAAUCCGGGGGACGUUAGGGUGAGAACUGAUGAGGGACACACGCGUGUGUGGACUUGUGGUGAUCCUAUGCUGCCAAGAAAAGCCUCGACGUGAGGGCAUGACGCGCCCGUACCCUAAACCGACUCAGGUGGUCAGGUAGAGUAUACCGAGGCGUUCGAGUGAAUCAUGGUUAAGGAACUCGGCAAAAUUCCUCCGUAACUUCGGGAUAAGGAGGACCCCGUGACUUCCCUUCGCCGCGCGUGGGGGUGGGGUUGUGGGGUCGCAGAGAAUAGGGAGAAGCGACUGUUUAUCAAAAACACAGGUGCGUGCGAAGCCGUAAGGCGAUGUAUACGCACUGACGCCUGCCCGGUGCUGGAAGGUUAAGAGGAACCGUUAACACCCCCCGGGGUGUGAAGCGGUGAAUUUAAGCCCCAGUAAACGGCGGUGGUAACUAUAACCAUCCUAAGGUAGCGAAAUUCCUUGUCGGGUAAGUUCCGACCUGCACGAAUGGCGUAACGACUUC